UACGUAGGGUGCAAGCGUUGUCCGGAAUUAUUGGGCGUAAAGAGCUCGUAGGCGGUUUGUUGCGUCGGCUGUGAAAUCCCGAGGCUCAACCUCGGGUCUGCAGUCGAUACGAGCAAACUAGAGUGUUGCAGGGGAGACUGGAAUUCCUGGUGUAGCGGUGAAAUGCGCAGAUAUCAGGAGGAACACCGGUGGCGAAAGGCGGGGUCC
rnacentral:rRNA from 1 species